GUGUCUCUUCCUACAGAAAAAUUAAAGUCCUUUAUCUUCUUCUCUUGUCUCCUUAUUUCAAAGCAUUUACAUAGAGACUUAAACCACAGUUAGCAUCUUUCAACUUCCAUCUUGCUUCCUAGCCAUCCAAAGGGUUCUUCCCUUGUUUGGUCGUCCAAGCCGUCUGCACCAGGUAAUUCGUGAUUCUUUUAUUUUGGAACUCACAGACUGAGUAGAUGCUUAGAAUUUUGGUUGUCUUGUCUUAUCUUCAUUCUUUAUGUGCAUAGGUUUUCAGACGAUUUGCAGGACGCCUAACCCUUGAGACUGUUCAGGAGUUCCGGCAUUGUUUCUGAUGUAACUAACCACCAGAUACUGGAACUCAUCUCCCUGUCGUCGAAUGUGAAAGUCAUUUUGGGAUUGAAUCCACUACUAGCUAGGAAGGGAACUGAUUUGGCCGUUGUCUUGUACCGAUUCCAUUACAAGCUUGUGGGAUGGCUGGUUAUGAUGAUGGGAUGAGUCCUAUGUCUGGAAGCUUUUCUGUCGUUGCUUUUGGCUUCAUUUGGAAAAUUGAAUGAAUGGAUAGAGUUGGAAUCAGAG
rnacentral:lncRNA from 1 species